AUAUUAUGAUACGGGAUAAUAAUAUCAUAGAACAAUAUACAUGCACAGAAUGAUAUAAUAAUAUAUUAUAUCUAUGUAUACAUGUUUGCGCCACAGAAUUUAUUCUAUGAUAACUCCAACAAAAUAUCUUCACUCUUCAGUGUUCAUUUGAUAACGCUAAAGAAAAUUUUAAAUUUUAUUGAGAUUCCAAUUUUUUUUAUUUAAACCGAUACUGUCAUAGGUAAUAUUAAUAUUCGAUUAACUAUCAGAUUUAUGAAUGCCCAUUAUGGAUACUUAUUACGUGUGCAAUGGAAAUCUAGUUAAACGAGACACUGAGAUUGACUCUAAAGAUAUAUUCGUCAUUGAAGAACCAUUUGAGCCAUAUGAAAAUAAUAUUAUUCAAGAUGAACCACUACAACUUGAAACUGAUGUUCUUGAAGAAUCUCGUAAUUGUAAAAGAAAUUGCCGAGAAUGGAGUCAAUAUGAAACAAAGAUUCUUUUGGAUAUGUAUAAACGAAAUGUUACUCAAGUAGGACCGAUGAAAAAAUUUAAAAGUAAAAGAGAAAUGUUCAAGUGUAUAGCACAAACAAUAUCUGCUAAAUUAAACAUCAUCAGAAGUGCUCAUCAAUGUGAAAAUAGGUAUAAAACGGUAGUAAAUCAACGAAAAGUUGGACGUUCAAUAUUACAAAAGUCUAGAUCAAAUGUUGAAAAGAAAUUAAAUGAAGAGGAACGAUUACAAAAUGAUGUUACUGCUUCAGUGUCAGCAGACCAUGAUUAUAAUGGACAGAACUCUGGAACUAAUGGUCAAUGUACAAUGAAAUCUAUGAAUGAAUGGGGUGAUGAUGAUACCAAGCUACUCAUGGAAAUGUACAGAAAGAACAUUUCCAAAGUGGGACUGGAAAGAACAUUCAGGACUAAAUUAAAAAUGUUUGAGUAUAUUGCAAAUACUAUAAACAAUAUACUAAAUAUUACUAGAACGGCUGAGCAAUGUCUAAAUAGAUAUAAAACCAUAUUCAGAAGAAAAAAUUUUAAACAGAAUAGAAUAAACAACGAUAUAUCCAUGAAUAACAUAGUUAUAGACGAUAAUUUAAACAACAGUGAUAAUUCAAACUGUGAUGCACAUUUUGUUGAUAAUUUAUAUGAAACUGAGUUUAACACUCAUGUUUAUGAUGGCAAAACAUUAAGAAAGGUUGUUAAGCAGCCAAAGGUAGUUCCUAAACCUAAAGAGCCUGAUACUAGUCAGGACACAUUGUUGACAAGGACUCUGAGAGAGAUUGCCAACCAAAAAGAAAAGACGUUAUUAAAAAUUGCAGCAAACCAAGAGCGAGCAGAAGAACGGAGGCAUCAGGAAACAUUGACGCUUAUACGACAACUUGGUUAUAUUUUAUAACAAUAUAUAAAUCCUGAAAAAAAAACCUUUUAAGUAUUAAAUACUAAAAGAAUUGAAUAGAAUUUUCUACGAGAUUUAUUCGGUGAAACUAUUGUUCGAUACAUUGGAAAUCAACAAGGCGAUACAUCUGAACAGCAUUAUUAAACAACAAUAUUUUUAAUGAAACAUGAAGUGUUAGUUAAUUACAUAUUGAGAACUUUGAUAAUUUAAAAAGAAGGUUGUGGCCUACACACAUUUCAACGUAUAAAAACAAUAAAACAUU